ACCUACGGGGCGCAGCAGUAGGGAAUCUUCGGCAAUGGACGAAAGUCUGACCGAGCAACGCCGCGUGAGUGAAGAAGGUUUUCGGAUCGUAAAACUCUGUUGGUAGAGAAGAACGUUGGUGAGAGUGGAAAGCUCAUCAAGUGACGGUAACUAACCAGAAAGGGACGGCUAACUACGUGCCAGCAGCCGCGGUAAUACGUAGGGCACGAGCGUUGUCCGGAUUUAUUGGGGGUAACGUGAGCGCAGGUGGUUGAGUAAGU
rnacentral:rRNA from 1 species